ensembl:lncRNA
ACAGUGUCAGGAAGUGACAGAGGAAGUGGAGUAGUGAGCCACAGUGUGUAACGUUCUCUGGUUUCUCUGUUCAUAGACGAGGCGAGACAGAGAGAGGAGGGAGACAGACAGCGAGAGAGAGAGAGAGACAGACAGACAGACAGAGAGAGAGACAGACAAAGAGAAAGACAGCCAGAGAGACAGACAGACAGAGAGAGAGACAGACUGAGAGAGAGAGACAGACAGAGAGACAAAGAGAGAGACAAAGAGACAGAAAGACAGAGCGAGACAGACAGAGAGAGUAUACUACUGAACUGUGUCUCGUCGAGGAACAGACAGAGAGAGAGACAGAAUACUACACGUGUCUGUCUGACCGUGUGUCAUGCGUUACCAUGACGAGAGAAGCACUCAUCAAACUCUUCAUCCUCAUCCUCCUCGCCUUCAUCAUCUGUCUCCCAGAGUUCUUCACUUCACACAGAGCGAGGGUAAACUUCCACUGUGUGACCUUUGACCCCUGCGGGGACCAGGAAGUGCCAACGCAGUGCGACCCCGGGCUGACCCCUGCGGGACAGAACUCCAGCCGGAGCGUCGAGGAGAAGCCCGUCUGUAACACCGGGAGGACGGGAGGUUCUGGAGUGAGCUGGUUGCUGUGUGACACGGAGACGGACCCGCCCGCUCUCCGUGGCAACGCCUCGCUGUCAGGAAGGAGGGUGUCGCUAUCAGUGUUGUCUGAAGGAGGGAACGCGACUUUGUACGGCUUCCUGACAGAGGAGAAGAAAGAGGAGAAGAAAGAGGGGGAGGAAGAAGGACAAGGAUUCAUCUACUGCUGUUUUCGAACCCCGCCUCUUUCCAUACCAACCAAUCACAGCCAGUGUCUCCUUCAUCUCCACACCCAAGGAACCAAUGAGACAGCUGUAAAGUCUGACCUGCCCUGGACACGGCCACCUAGAAGUGAGUGGUUGUGUGUCUUCAGGGUGGCGUGGUUGGUCCUGGUGGUUGUGGUCAUGUUGACCGUCCUCACCACGGUCCUGGGUCUGAUCUACUGGAGGACUCGCUGCUGUCGAAGUGAGUCACACACACACACACACAGUCUCGUAUAACUAACCUUGUGGACACACACACACCGUCUCGUAUAACUAACCUUGUGGGGACACACAGACACACACACACACACACACACACACACACACACACACACACACACACACACACACACACACACACACACACACACACACACACACACACACACACACACACACACACACACACACACACACACACAGUCUCGUAUAACUAACCUUGUGGGGACACACAGACACACACACACACACAGUCUCGUAUAACUAACCUUGUGGGGACACACAGACACACACACACACACACACACACAGUCUCGUAUAACUAACCUUGUGGGGACACACACACGCACACAGAUACACACACAGUCUUGUAUAACUAACCUUGUGGGGACACACAGACACACACACACACAGUCUUGUAUAAAUAACCUUGUGGGGACACACAGACAUACACACACAGUCUUGUAUAACUAACAUUGUGGGGACACACAGACACACGCACACACAGUCUUGUAUAACUAACCUUGUGGGGACACACAGAUACACACACACACACACACACACAGUCUUGUAUAACUAACCUUGUGGGGACACACUUACCCUAAACACACAGUCUUGUAUAACUAACCUUGUGGGGACACACUUACCCUAAACACACAGUCUUGUAUAACUAACCUUGUGGGGACACACUUACCCUAAACACACAGUCUUGUAUAACUAACCUUGUGGGGACACACUUACCCUGAACACACAGUCUUGUAUAACUAACCUUGUGGGGACACACUUACCCUAAACACAGUCUUGUAUAACUAACCUUGUGGGGACACACUUACCCUAAACACAGUCUUGUAUAACUAACCUUGUGGGGACACACUUACCCUAAACACACAGUCUUGUAUAACUAACCUUGUGGGGACACACUUACCCUAAACACACAGUCUUGUAUAACUAACCUUGUGGGGACACACUUACCCUAAACACACAGUCUUGUAUAACUAACCUUGUGGGGACACACUUACCCUAAACACACAGUCUUGUAUAACUAACCUUGUGGGGACACACUUACCCUAAACACACAGUCUUGUAUAACUAACCUUGUGGGGACACACUUACCCUGAACACACAGUCUUGUAUAACUAACCUUGUGGGGACACACUUACCCUAAACACACAGUCUUGUAUAACUAACCUUGUGGGGACACACUUACCCUAAACACACAGUCUUGUAUAACUAACCUUGUGGGGACACACUUACCCUAAACACACAGUCUUGUAUAACUAACCUUGUGGGGACACACUUACCCUAAACACACAGUCUUGUAUAACUAACCUUGUGGGGACACACUUACCCUAAACACACAGUCUUGUAUAACUAACCUUGUGGGGACACACUUACCCUAAACACACAGUCUUGUAUAACUAACCUUGUGGGGACACACUUACCCUAAACACACAGUCUUGUAUAACUAACCUUGUGGGGACACACUUACCCUAAACACACAGUCUUGUAUAACUAACCUUGUGGGGACACACAGACACACAUCUUAAACAAAUGAAAAAGUCUUUAUGUACAUGUGUUGAAAUUAAAUUAUUUCC